AUCGUAUCACCUCAAGAACACGAGAGAGAGAGAGAGAGAGAUCAAACACAUAGCUACUGGUACAUACCCUCAGCCCCGAGGGAGAACUACUCCCUCCUCGUCAUGGAGAGCACCGGGAUGAUGAAGAUGGCCACCGGAGAGGAAUUGCCCCCCUCCGGAAGGGUGCCGGAACGGGUCUAGAUUGGCUUUCGGUGGCUACGGAGGCUUUUGGCGGCGGAACUCCCGAUCUAUUGUGCUCCCGAAUGUUUUUAGGGUAUAUGGAGAUAUAUAGGCGGAAGAAGUACGUCAGGGGGGGCCACGAGGGGCCCACGAGGGUGGAGGGCGCGCCCUAGGGGGGUGGGCGCGCCCCCCUACCUCGUGGCCUCCUGAAAGCUUCCCUUACGUGCACUUCAAGUCUUUUGGGCUUCUUCUGAUCCAAAAAUAAGUUCCAUGAAGUUUCAGGUCAAUUGGACUCUGUUUGAUUUUCCUUUUUUUCGAAACCCUAAAACAAGGUAAAAACAGAAACUGGCACUAGGCUCUGUGUUAAUAGGUUAGUACCAAAAAUGAUAUAAAAGUGUAUAAUAAAGCCCAUAAACAUCCAAUACAGAAGAUAAUAUAGCAUGGAGCAAUCAAAAAUUAUAGAUACGUUGGAGACGUAUCAGCAUCCCCAAGCUUAAUUCUUGCUCGUCCUCGAGUAGGUAAAUGAUAAAAACAGAAUUUUUGAUGCGGAGUGCUACUUGGCAUAAUUUCAAUGUAAUUCUUCUUAAUUGUGGCAUCAAUAUUCAGAUUCGAAAGAUUGAAGACAAAAGUUCAUAUUGACAUAAAAAUGAUAAUACUUGAAGCAUACUAACUAAGCAAUUAUGUCUUCUCAAAAUAACAUGGCCAAAGAAAGUUCAUCCCUACAAAAUCAAAUAGUUUAGUCAUGCUCCAUUUUUGUCACACAAGAAUGCUCUCAUCAUGUACAACCCCGAUGACAAGCCAAGCAAUUGUUUCAUACUUUAGUAAUCUCAAACCUAUAAACUUUCACGCAAUACAUGAGCGCGAGCCAUGAAUAUAGCACUAUGUGUGGGAUAGAAUAAUGAGGGGGUUAUGUGGAGAAGACAAAAAGGAGAAAGUCUCACAUCAACGAGGCUAAUCAAUGGGCUAUGGAGAUGCCCAUCGAUUGAUGUUAAUGCAAGGAGUAGGGAUUGCCAUGCAACAGAUACACUAGAGCUAUAAAUGUAUGAAAGCUCAACAAAAAAAACUAAGUGGGUGUGCAUCAAACUUGCUUGCUCACGAAGACCUAGGGCACUUGAGGAGGCCCAUUGUUGGAAUAUACAAGCCAAGUUCUAUAAUGAAAAAUUCCCACUAGUAUAUGAAAGUGACAAAACAAGAGACUCUCUAUCAUGAAGAUUAUGGUGUUACUUUGAAGCACAAGUGUGGCAAAGGAUAGUAACAUUGUCCCUUCGCUUUUUUAUAUUUUUUGGGCCUUCUCUUUUUUUGGCCUUUCUCUUUUUUGGGCCUUCUCUUUUUAUGGCCUUUCUCCUUUUUUGUAUUCCUCACUUGGGACAAUGCUCUAGAAAAUGAUGAUCAUCACACUUCUAUUUAUUUACAACUCAAUGAUUACAACUCGAUACUAGAACAAAGUAUGACUCUAUAUGAAUGACUCCAGCGGUGUACCGGGAUAUGCAAUGAAUCAAGAGUGACAUGUAUGAAUUAUGAACGGUGGCUUUGCCACAAAUACGAUGUCAACUACAUGAUCAUGCAAAGCAAUAUGACAAUGAUGAAUGUGUCAUGAUAAAUGGAAUGGUGGAAAGUUGCAUGGCAAUAUAUCUCGGAAUGGCUAUGGAAAUGCCAUAAUAGGUAGGUAUGGUGGCUAUUUUGAGGAGGAUAUAAGGAGGUUUAUGUGUGAUAGAGUGUAUCAUAUCACGGGGUUUGGAUGCACCGGUGAAGUUUGCACCAACUCUCAAUGUGAGAAAGGGCAAUGCACGGUACCGAAGAGGCUAGCAAGGAUGGAAGGGUGAGAGUGCGUAUAAUUCAUGGACUCAACAUUAGUCAUAAAGAACUCACAUACUUAUUGCAAAAAUCUACAAGUCAUCAAAAACCUCGGCACUAAGCGCAUGCUCCUAGGGGUAUAGAUUGGUAGGAAAAGACCAUCACUCGUCCCCGACCGCCACUCAUAAGGAGGACAAUCAAAUAACACCUCAUGUUUCAAAUUUGUUACAUAACAUUUACCAUAUGUGCAUGCUACGGGACUUGCAAACUUCAACACAAGCAUUUCUCAAUUUCACAACUACUCAACUAGCACGACUUUGAUAUUAUUACCUCCAUAUCUCAAAACAAUCAUCAAGCAUCAAACUUCUCUUAGUAUUCAAAACACUCAUAAGAAGAUUUUACUAAUCUUGAAUACCUAGCAUAUUAGGAUUUUAAGCAAAUUACCAUGCUAUUAAGACUCUGAAAAUAAUCUAAGUGAAGUAUGAGAGUUCAUCUAUUUCUUCAAAAUAAAACUACCACCAUGCUCUUAAAUAUAUAAGUGAAGCACUAGAGCAACAACAAACUACUCCGAAAGAUAUAAGUGAAGAUCAAUGAGUAGUUGAAUAAUUAUGCAACUAUGUGAAGACUCUCUAACAUUUAAGAAUUUCAGAUCUUGGUAUUUUAUUCAAACAGCAAGCAAAACUAAAUAAAAUAAAAUGACGCUCCAAGCAAAACACAUAUCAUGUGGCGAAUAAAAAUAUAGCUCCAAGUAAAGUUACCGAUGAACGAAGACGAAAGAGGGGAUGCCUUCCGGGGCAUCCCCAAGCUUAGGCUUUUGGUUGUCCUUUAAUAUUACCUUGGGGUGCCUUGGGAAUCCCCAAGCUUAGGCUCUUGCCACUCCUUAUUCCAUAAUCCAUCGAAUCUUUACCCAAAACUUGAAAACUUCAAAACACAAAACUUAAAGUAGAAAAUCUCGUGAGCUCCAUUAGCGAAAGAAAACAAAACACCACUUCAAGGUAAUGUAAUGAACUAAUUAUUUAUUUAUAUUGGUGUUAAACCUACUGUAUUCCAACUUCUAUAUGGUUUAUAAACUAUUUUACUAGCCAUAGAUUCAUCAAAAUAAGUAAACAACACAUGAAAAACAGAAUCUGUCAGAAACAGAACAGUCUGUAGUAAUCUGGAUCAAACGUAAACUUCUGGAACUCAUAAAAUUCUCAAAUAGAUUGCUGGACCUGAGUAAUUUAUCUAUUAAUCAUCGGCAAAAAGAAUUAACUAAAUAGCACUCUCCAAAUAAAAAUGGCAGCAAUUCUCGUGAGCGCUAAAGUUUCUGUUUUUACAGCAUGAUCAUAAAGACUUCACCCAAGUCUUCCCAAAGGUUCUACUUGGCACAAACACCAAUUAAAAGCAUAAAACCACAUCUAAACAGAGGCUAAAUGAAUUAUUUAUUACUAAACAUGAACAAAAAGCAAGGAACAAAAAUAAAGUUGGGUUGCCUCCCAACAAGCGCUAUCGUUUAACGCCCCUAGCUAGGCAUGAUGAAUUCAAUGAUGCUCACAUAAAAGAUAAGAAUUGAAACAUAAAAAGAGCAUCAUGAAGAAUAUGACUAGCACAUUUAAGUCUAACCCCCUUCCUAUGCAUAGGGAUUUUGUGAGCAAACAACUUGUGGGAAGAAGAAUCAACUUGCAUAGGAAAGCAAAACAAGCAUAAGUUCAAGAUUUUAAGCACAUAGAGAGGAAACUUGAUAUUAUUGCCAUUCCUACAAACAUAUAUUCCUCCCUCAUAAAAAAUUUCAAUAGAAUCAUGAAUGAAUUAAACAAUAUAACCAGCACCUAAAGCAUUCUUUUCAUGAUCUACAAGCAUAGAAAAUUGAUUACUAUCCACACAAGCAAAAUUCUUCUCAUGAAUAAUAGUGGGAGUAAACUCAACAAAAUAAUUAUCAUGUGAGGCAUAAUCCAAUUGAAAAUUAAAAUCAUGAUGACAAGAUUCAUGGAUAUAAUUAUUCUUUAUAGCAUACAAGUCAUCACAAUAAUCAUCAUAGAUAGCAACUUUGUUCUCAUAAUCAAUUGGAACCUCUUCCGAAAUAGUGGAUUCAUCACAAAAUAAAGUCAUGACCUCUCCAAAUCCACUUUCAUCAAUAUAAUCAUCAUAAAUAGGAGGCAUGCUUUCAUCAUAAUAAAUUUGCUCAUCAAAACUUGGGGGGCAAAAAAUAUCAUCUUCAUCAAACAUAGCCUACCCAAUCUUGUGGCUUUGCAUAUCAUUAGCAUCAUGGAUAUUCAAGGAAUUCAUACUAACAACAUUGCAAUCAUGCUCAUCAUUCAAAUAUUUAGUGCCAAACAUUCUAAUGCAUUCUUCUUCUAUCACUUGAGCAUGAUUAUCGGAAUCCUCAUUUUCAUGAUAGAUAUUAAAAAUAUGAAGCAUAUGAGGUAACCUUAAUUCCAUUUUUUGGUAGUUUUCUUUUAUAAACUAAACUAGUGAUAAAACAAGAAACUAAAAGACUCGAUUACAAGAUCUAAAGAUAUACCUUAAACCACUCACCUCCCCGGCAACGGCGCCAGAAAAGAGCUUGACGUCUACUACACAACCUUCUUAUUGUAGAUGUUGUUGGGCCUCCAAGUGCAGAGGUUUGUAGGACAGUAGCAAAUUUCCCUCAAGUGGAUGACCUAAGGUUUAUCAAUUACCUAAGGUUUAUCAAUUCGUAGGAGGCGUAGGAUGAAGAUGGCCUCUCUCAAGCAACCCUGCAAACAAAUAACAAGAGUCUCUUGUGUCCCCAACACACCCAAUACAAUGUAAAUUGUAUAGGUGCACUAGUUCGGCGAAGAGAUGGUGAUACAAGUGGUAUAUGGAUGGUAGAUAAUAGUUUUUGUAAUCUGAAAAUAUAAUAACAGCAAGGUAACUAAUGAUAAAAGUGAGCACAAACGGUAUUGCGAUGUGUGGAAACAAGGCCUAGGGUUCAUACUUUCACUAGUGCAAGUCCCCUCAACAAUAAUAACAUACUUGGAUCACAUAACUAUCCCUCAACAUGCAACAAAGAGUCACUCCAAAGUCACUAAUAGCGGAGAACAAACGAAGAGAUUACGGUAGGGUACGAAACCACCUCAAAGUUAUUCUUUCCAAUCAAUCCAUUGGGCUAUUCCUAUAAGUGUCACAAACAGCCCUAGAGUUCGUACUAGAAUAACACCUUAAGACACAAAUCAACCAAAACCCUAAUGUCACCUAGAUACUCCAAUGUCACCUCAAGUAUCCGUGAGUAUGAUUAUAUGAUAUGCAUCACACAAUCUCAGAUUCAUCUAUUCAACCAACACAAAGGACCUCAAAGAGUGCCCCAAAGUUCUACCGGAGAAUCAUGACUAAAACGUGUGCCAACCCCUAUGCAUAGGUUCAUGGGCGGAACCCGCAAGUUGAUCACCAAAACAUACAUCAAGUGAAUCACGUGGUAUCCCAUUGUCACCAUAGAUACGCACGGCAAGACAUACAUCAAGUGUUCUCAAAUCUUUAAAGACUCAAUCCGAUAAGAUUACUUCAAAGGGGAAACUAUAAUAGCAAAGGUAGAGGGGGGAAGAAACAUCAUAGGAUCCAACUAUAAUAGCAAAGCUCGCGAUACAUCAAGAUCGUACCACCUCAAGAACACGAGAAAGAGAGAGAUCAAACACAUAGCUACUGGCACAUACCCUCAGCCCCGAGGGAGAACUACUCCCUCCUCGUCAUGGAGAGCACCGGCAUGAUGAAGAUGGCCACCGGAGAGGAAUUGCCCCCUCCGGCAGGGUGCCGGAACGGGUCUAGAUUGGCUUUCGGUGGCUACGUAGGCUUCUAGCGGCGGAACUCCCGAUCUAUUGUGCUCCCGGAUGUUUUUGGGGUAUAUGGAGAUAUAUAGGCGGAAGAAGUACGUCAGGGGGGCCACAAGGGGCCCACGAGGGUGGAGGGCGUGCCCUAGGGGGUUGGGCGCGCCCCCUACCUCGUGGCCUCCUCAAAGCUUCCCUUAUGUGCACUUCAAGUCUUCUGGGCUUCUUUUGAUCCAAAAAUAAGUUCCGUGAAGUUUCAGGUCAAUUGGACUCCGUUUGAUUUUCCUUUUCUUCGAAACCCUAAAACAAGGUAAAAACAGAAACUGGCACUGGGCUCUGGGUUAAUAGGUUAGUCCCAAAAAUGAUAUAAAAGUGUAUAAUAAAGCCCAUAAACAUCCAAAACAGAAGAUAAUAUAGCAUGAAGCAAUCAAAAAUUAUAGAUACGGUGGAGACAUAUCAAGAUGCCACUGUUGGGGAACGUAGUGAUUUCAAAAUUUUCCUACGCACACUCAUGAUCAUUGUGAUGCAUAGCAACGAGAGGGAGAGUGUGUCCACGUACCCUCGUAGACCAAAAGCGGAAGCAUUAGCACAACGCGGUUGAUGUAGUCGUACGUCUUCACGAUCCGACCAAUCCAAGUACCGAACGUACGACACCUCCGAGUUCAGCACACGUUCAGCUCGAUGAUGUCCCGCGAACUCUGAUCUAGCAGAGCUUCACGGGAGAUUUCUGUCAGCAUGACGGUGUGAUGACGCUGAUGAUGUUGCUACCGACGCAGGGCUUUGCCUAAGCGCCACUAUGAUAUAAUCGAGGUGGAAUAUGGUGGAGGGGGGCACCGCACACGGCUGGAAUAGAUCAACAGAUCAACUUGUGUGUCCUAGGGUGCCCCCUGCCCCCGUAUAUAAAGGAGCAAGGGGGAAGGCGGCCGGAUAGGAGGAGGGCGCGCCAAGGGGGGAGUCCUACUCCCACCGGGAGUAGGACUCCUUUUUUUCUUGUUGGAGUAGGAGAGGGGAGGAAGGGAGAGAGGAGGAGAAGGAAAAAGGGGGGCGCCACCCCCACCUCCUUCUCAAUUUGGACUAGAGGGGAAGGGGACGUGCGUCUGCCCUGGCCGCCCCUGCUCUUCUCCCACUAAGGCCCAUGAGGCCCAAUUAACUCCCCGGGGGGGUCCGAUAACCCCCCGGUACUCUGUUUUUUAUCCGAAACCACUCGGAACACUUCCAGUGUCUGAAUAUAGUCGUCCAAUAUAUCGAUCUUUAUGUCUCGGCCAUUUCGAGACUCCUCGUCAUGUCCAUGAUCAUAUCCGGCACUCUGAACUACCUUCGGUACAUCAAAACACAAAAACUCAUAAUACUGAUCGUCACCAAACUUUAAGCGUGCAGACCCUACGGGUCCGAGAACUAUGUAGACAUGACCGAGACACGUCUCCGAUCAAUAACCAAUAGUGGAACCUGGAUGCCCAUAUUGGCUCCUACAUAUUCUACUAAGAUCUUUAUCGGUCAAACCGCAUAACAACAUACGUUGUUCCCUUUGUCAUCGGUAUGUUACUUGCCCGAGAUUCGAUCGUCGGUAUCUCAAUACCUAGUUUAAUCUCGUUACCGGCAAGUCUCUUUACUCGUUCCAUAAUGCAUCAUCCCGCAACUAACUCAUUAUUCACAUUGCUUGCAAGGCUUAUAGUGAUGUGCAUUACCGAGAGGGCCCAGAGAUACCUCUCCGUCAAUCGGAGUGACAAAUCCUAAUCUCGAAAUAUGCCAACUCAACAAGUACCUUCGGAGACACCUGUAGAGAAGUUUUAUAAUCACCCAGUUAUGUUGUGACGUUUGGUAGCACACAAAGUGUUCCUCCGGUAAACGAGAGUUGCAUAAUCUCAUAGUCAUUGGAACAUGUAUAAGUCAUGAAGAAAGCAAUAACAACAUACUAAACGAUCAAGUGCCAAGCUAACGGAAUGGGUCAAGUCAAUCACAUCAUUCUCCUAAUGAUGUGAUCCCGUUAAUCCAAUGACAACUCAUGUCUAUGGCUAGAAAACAUAACCAUCUUUGAUCAACGAGCUAGUCAAGUAGAGGCAUACUAGUGACACUCUGUUUGUCUAUGUAUUCAUACAUGUAUUAUGUUUCCGGUUAAUACAAUUCUAGCAUGAAUAAUAAACAUUUAUCAUGAUAUAAGGAAAUAAAUAAUAACUUUAUUAUUGCCUCCAGGGUAUAUUUCCUUCAGCGUCGGCCCCAAACACUGACAGUGCGUGUGGAGGGAUGAGGGCAGAGCACCCAAAGGGACGCCAGAGCAGAGCACGUGUAGCGGGACGCGAGCAGAGCGCGCCGCGACCGCCUCAACCGCAAGCAACCACAUGCAUAGAGCCGUUGAACACGCAGGAAAUGGUCGCCUACAAGCCGGCCGACAGUUGUGUCGCUGCGUAGAGAGCGGUCGUGUGCUACUACCUCCGUCUUGGUCUAUAGUCCUCUUUAUAUUCUGUGCCAUACUUUGCCCUUAAAUUUAACCAACAAAAUGUUAAUGCAUGUUAUAAAAAUUACAUAAUUGGAAACUAUGUUCAAAUACGAAUCCAACUAUAUAAUCUUUGGUGACAUGCAUUCGCAUUUUAUUAGUUAAAUGCUACUUAUAAACCAGGACGGGGGUAUAGUAGGUAAUUAAAUAGCAAACGCUUUUUUGUCUUAACCGUAUGUAUACGUGGUCUUUCGUCCUCCUCUGGCACGUCUUGUCACCCCGCUGCCACAGAUGGCUUACAACGCAAGCUUGCGCAGCACGCGGGGGCGUUCUUUUGGCCAAAUCAUGGCGCCAAUGAAUCGUCGGUGAGCCCAUUCCCGUGCAACCUUGCAAGUUCCCACACAAGCUUCCCGCCUGACUCGGUGAAAUCCCCCAAAAUCCCAAUGCUUACCGGCCUGCUAUAUAAACCCUUACAGCCGGCGAGUCCUGCAUCGCAUUUUCCCCUCCCUCCAUGUAGCUUAUCUCGGCUGCUUCUCCCACAAUUGCCAAUGGCACCGAUCCAUCGUCAUCGCUCAGCCACUCCGCCGUCAUCAGAGGACAGCUCCAGCUGGGAGGCUACACCAUGGCUGCGGCGCAGUCCCUGACGCAGUGUAGUGCGCGUGGUGUCCCUGUUGGGUGGCGCGGAACACCCACCACAUGCUCCACCGCCGCUGCCCGUCGGUAGCUAUUGCCGACCGUCGUUGCCGCCACACCACCAUCAAAAGCCAGGGCCAUCGCCCGCUCCGCCGCCGCGGCCCAAAGGCGGGAGGUGGUCGUCGUGGCCGCCACCCCAUUGCCGGCCACCAUGCCAUCACCCGCUCCGCCACCGCGGCCCGAAGGUGGGAGGUGGUGGUCAUGGCCGCCACCCCAUUGUCAGCCGCCAUGCCCGGUAGCCCACCGUCGACCAUUGGGGUCAUCACCCGCUUCGCCAUCGCCUCCUGAAGGCGGGAGGGGAGGUGGAUGCCCGCACGUGCGUCAACGACCUUGCACGCUACAUCGAGUUCCCGCGGGAGGAGGAGGAGUGCCUCGUUGAUCACACAAAGAGCCUUAACGCCACCGUGGCCGCGGCACACGCCGCCUCAGAGGCGAGGAAUCAGGAGAUCUACGAGGAGAACCACUGCUUCGAGAGGGGUCGUCUGGAGCGGCAGAGGGCGUUCAAGGUGAGCGUCGCUGAAGCUGCAGCAGCGGCAGGCACCGUAUUGUGGUUGCCCAGCUCGUCGGUAGGCUCCUCCUCCUUUGCCUCUUACUGAGCGCGCUUGAGUAAGGAGAGGCAACCGGAAGUAGUACAAAGCCCCUCCGUAGUAUAGUAGUAGUAGUAUUUAGGGGCUAUUUUGUUCAGUUCAUCGGACUAUAGAUGUGGUGGAACUAUACAACAUACUUAAAAUUAGCUAGUAUAUAUAGUUGAACUAGCUAUUUCAGUACGUGGUUGGCAACAAUUGGGGAAAAGUUUGGCCGGUUCAGCUGUCGAGUAGAACUAUUUGUAAAUUAUGAACGACUGCUUAAUCUAUGAAUGAAAUAGCGGGGGCAGCAACUGAUAAACCACAAGUAUAGGGGAUCGCAACAGUUUUCAAGGGUAGAGUAUUCAUCCCAAAUUUAUAGAUUCGACACAAGGGGAACCAAAGAAUAUUUGAAGGUAUUAGCAGCUGAGUUGUCAAUUCAACCACACCUGAAGAUUAAUUAUCUGCAGCAAAGUGAUCAAUAACAAAGUAGUUUGAUAGUUUUGAUAGUAGUGACAGCAGCAAUAAACAGUAACAAUGAUACAAGAAUUUUGUAGCAAGUGUAACAGUGAUGAUAGCAGUAUUAACUUAGCAGAAACAAUAUGGAAAAGUUUGUAGGCAUUGGAUCGGUGACUUGUUGGAUGAUAUUCAUCAUGAGACAGUGAUAACCUAGGCGAUACGGCACUAGCUCCAGUUCAUCAAUAUAAUGUAGGCAUGUAUUUCGUAAAUAGUCAUACAUGCUUUAUUAAAAGAACUUGCAUGACAUCUUUUGUCCUACCCUCCCGUGGCAGCGGGGUCCUUAUUGGAAACUAAGGGAUAUUAAGGCCUCCUUUUAAUAGACAAUCGGAACAAAGUAUUAACACAUAGUGAAUACAUGAACUCCUCAAACUACGGUCAUCACCGAGAGUGGGCCCGGUUGUUGUCACUCCGGGGUUGUCGGAUCAUAACACAUAGUAGGUGACUAUAACUUGCAAGAUCAAAUCUAGAACAUGGAUAUAAUGAUGAUAACAUAAACGGUUCAGAUCUGAAAUCAUGGCACCCGGGCCCAAAGUGACAAGCAUUAAGCAUGGUAAAGUCAUAGCAACAUCAAUCUAAGAACAUAGUGGAUACUAUGUAUCAAGCCCUAACAAAACUAACUCGAUUACAUGAUGAAUCUCAUCCAACUCCUCACCGACCAGCGAGCCUACGAAGGAAUUACUCACUCCCGGUGGGGAGCGUCAUGGAAUUGGCGGUGGACAAGGGUUGGUGAUGACGAAGAACGAAGAUCCCCCUCUCCGGAGUCCCAAACGGACUCCAGAUCCGCCCUCCCGAGGAAGAACAGGGCUUGGCGGCGGCUCCGUCUCAUGGAUCGUGAUAAUUCUUUCUGCCUUAUUUUUUUCUCCGAAAAUAGGAAUUUAUAUUGUCAAGGUUGAGGUCUGCGGGGCCACUAGGUGGGUACAACCCACCUAGGCAUGCCAGGAGAGGGGGGGCGCCCUGGUGGGUGAUGACCCACAAGUAUAGGAGAUCUAUCAUAGUCCUUUUGAUAAGUAAGAGUGUCAAACCCAACGAGGAGCAGAAGGAAAUGACAAGCAGUUUUCAGUAAGGUAUUCUCUGUAAGCACUGAAAUUAUCAGUAACAAAUAGUUUUGUGAUAAGGUAAUUUGUAACGGACAACAAGUAAUGAAAGUAAAUAAGGUGCAGCAAGAUGGCCCAAUCCUUUUUAUAGCAAAGGACAAGCCUGGGCAAACUCUUAUAUAAAGGAAAGCGCUCCCGAGGACACAUGGGAAUUAUUGUCAAGCUAGUUUUCAUCACGCUCAUAUAAUUCACGUUCGGUACUUUGAUAAUUUUAUAUGUGGGUGGACCGGUGCUUGGGUACUGCCCUUACUUGGACAAGCAUCCCACUUAUGAUUAACCCCUCUUGCAAGCAUCCGCAACUACAAAAGAAGUAUUAAGGUAAACCUAACCAUAGCAUGAAACAUAUGGAUCCAAAUCAGCCCCUUACGAAGCAAUGCAUAAAGUAGGGUUUAAGCUUCUGUCACUCUAGAAACCCAUCAUCUACUUAUUACUUCCCAAUGCCUUCCCCUAGGCCCAAAUAAUGGUGAAGUGUCAUGUAGUCGACGUUCACAUGACACCACUAGAGAAAAGACAACAUACAUCUCAUCAAAAUAUCGAACGAAUACCAAAUUCACAUGACUACUUAUAGCAAGACCUCUCCCAUGUCCUCAGGAACAAACGUAACUACUCACAAAUCAUAUUCAUGUUCAUAAUCAGAGGGGUAUUAAUAUGCAUAAAGGAUCUGAACAUAUAAUCUUCCACCAAAUAAACCAACAAGCAUCAACUAGAAGGAGUAAUCAACAUUACUAGCAACCCACAUGUACCAAUCUGAGGUUUUGAGACAAAGAUUGAAUACAAGAGAUGAACUAGGGUUUGAGAUGAGAUGGUGCUGGUGAAUAUGUUGAUGGAGAUUGGCCCCCUCCCGAUGAGAGGAUCGAUGGUGAUGAUUUCCCCCUCCCGGAGGGAUGUUUCCCCGGCGGAACAGCUCCGCCGGAGCCCUAGAUUGGUUCCGCUAAGGUUCCGCCUCGUGGCAGCAGUGCUUCGUCCUGAAAGCUUCCUUCUGAUUUUUUUCAGGGCGAAAUACUUCGUAUAGCCAAAGAUUGGCACCGGAGGCCUGCCAGGGGCCGACGAGACAGGGGGCGCGCCCCCACCCUCGUGGAUGGUGGGUGGCCCCCUUUGGUGCUUUCUUCGUUCAAUAUUUUUUGUAUAUUCCAAAACUGACUUCCAUGAAGUUUCAGGACUUUUGGAUUUGUGCAGAAUAGGUCUCUAAUAUUUGCUCCUUUUCCAGCCCAGAAUUCUAGCUGCCGGCAUUCUCCCUCUUCGUGCAAACCUUGUAAAAUAAGAGAGAAUAUGCAUAAGUAUUGUGACAUAGUGUGUAAUAACAGCCCAUAAUACAAUAAAUAUCGAUAUAAAAGCAUGAUGCAAAAUGUACGUAUCAACUCCCCCAAGUUUAGACCUCGCUUGUCCUCAAGUGGAAGCCGAUAACGAAAAAUAUGUCCACAUGUUUAGAUAUAGAGGUAUCAAUAAAUAAAAUACGGACAUGAGGGCAUCAUGAUCAUUUUUAGAACAACAACAUUUGAAUCACAUAGCGUUAUAUAUAUAGGGACGAUCAAAUGUUACACAAGGCGACCGGAUUAGAAUAACUAUUUGAAUCACGGAGUGUUAUAUAUACAGGGGCGAUCAAAUGUUCCUGAACCCAGCCGAAUCGAUAUGACAGAGAAAAAAAAACAGGGCCGCACUCACCCACUCCUUCCCUAACCUCCAGAUUCCCUCCCAUCCAUUGCGCCGCCGGCCUCUCUCUUCGUUCUUCCGCCGCGCCGCCAGCCUCCGUCCCCAUGCUUCCACCGCGGCAACGGCCUCCCACCCCGUGCUUUCGCCGCAGCGCCACCUCCCUCCCCGUGCUUCCACCCCGCGCUGGGCUCCCUUACCCUGCUUCCACCCCCUCGCCGGCCUCCCUCCCCCUACUUCCACCCCGGCCACGACCAACCUCCCCUGCUUCCACUCCGGGGAUGGCCUCUCCCCCCUGCUUCCGGCGGCCCGCCCCUCCUCUAUGCGCCAUCCUCCACCAUCGUCGUUGCCAAAACAGAUCCCGCCACUGUUUGCCAGGACCUCGUCGAUGAUCUGUCGUGAGGCCCAGCGCCCCAUCGUCCGACGCGCCUAGCUAGCCCGCUCCCGCCGACCCUCUGCCCUCCCUCACCACGCGACCUGCGUGCUUCCCCCUACGACCACUGCAUGCCGCACCCGCGAGGAAACCAGCCACCCAUCGCUCCGGUCGCCCGUGCCAAAUCCAGAUGCAGUUCAGGGAGUCUUCCUGCUGCAGGUCGCACCGCUCUACCUACCAGCGCCGCAGCCAUGACGGUCGCCUCUUCAUGUGCCCUUGCUCUGCAUCUAGUAGGCUAGAAAUUGCACAUCUGUAUUUGGACGUCAGAGAAAGUGUAAAACAUUAUCUAAAUUCUGAAACUACAUGCUAUCCGUGCUUGCAGAUUGGACACCCUGCACCCAAUCUCCGACACUGUAACCCAUGUACGCCUCGGCGCUGCUGCUCGCGGCCAGGAUCUGGCGCCCAGCAUCCCCAUCGCCUCCAUGUUGCGCGAGCACCGGUGGGUGCAGGCGGCUGUCUUGUCAUCGCAGGUAGAGGAGAACUCGGCCUACAGUUGGAUGGCACACCCACCAGCGACGGAGAGCCACCUCCCGCCGCCGGCCGGCCAUCCCCGAGUCGUCUGUGGCUCUCGCCCUAGCUUUGGAUCCAGCGAGCACCUUAGGGGCGCGCCGGCGAUGCAGGCCACGUACCUCUCCCCAAUCUCUGCAACGAGAAGCCACCGACUGCGGACGGCGAGCUCCUGGAUCCUGCUGAUCUCGCUGUCCCCAACCCACAUGCGUGGCACGGACAUCGUUUCCUAUGACAGUUUCCGACACCCUGUGGUGUUGUUACCGUCAGCUACACCCUGUGGUAUUUGGUUUAAAUUACAGGAUUUUGCAAUUCAUGGUGUCGACGCAGGUAAUUCUUCUGUCCAGAUAAGAACCAUGAAUUUGUACCCCAGCAUGGUGUGGAUUCAUUAUGGUUGCCGGUCAUCUGUAAAUGUAUCAGAAAAAGCAAGUCCCAUGUAUUAUCUUCAUGACACCUUUUUUCCUGUGUCACUGGAUUCAUAAAUGUUGCGGCUGGGCCCAAAUUCAUAUUGUGAACUAAUAUUAUAGUACAUCAAGUUCUUCCCAAUCAUGUGCUUACUAUGUUGGUCUUAGGCUGCGAGAGAUUUAUUAAGCUUUUGACAUAGUUCUACUGUAUAUCAUUUCAGAUUUUCUACCCUAUGAUGAUGAUGGGGACUUUGAUGAGGCAAUUGAUCUUGAUGAUGAUGAGGAUGAGCCAAAUCCUGACGAAUUCCAGUCUCAUGAUGCACUUAGUGGCUGGUCUUCUCGUACCAAGUACGGAUGGACUUGAUUUUAAUUCCUUCAGAUUUGUGUUCAGACCUUUCCUAGUUUUUUUCACCAUGUGUUGCUAUUUAUCUGUAUGCAGGGGUGUUGCAAGAUAUCUCAAGACUUUAUUCGAUGAAGAGUCUGGUCGGGGGAGAAAGAAUGUUGUCAUUGAUCAUCUGGUAAAUGGAAAGUCUCGGAAAGAAGCCUCAAGGAUGUUCUUCGAGACCUUGGUACGUCAUCAAUUUUGCUUCAUGGUCCUUGUGCCUUAUUUUGCCUUUUACCCAUUAUAGAAAAAGGUGUGUGGAGGCAUGUAGGUCGCAUUUUGUAGUUUCAUCUCCAUUUAUCAUAGCAUUUUACAUUCAACAUCUUCCAUGAACAUGCUGCCAGCACCAUGCCUUUGAAUAGUCCCGGUCUGUAACAACUUUUGAAUUAGAUCUUGUGCCGAGUCUGGUUGUUUGAACCCUGCGUCGCAUGGGAUCGUACGACCCAUCACAGGCCGCCAGUACUUACGUGCUCUGCUCCAUUGACAGGUCCUUUCGACGAAGGACUACAUUUAGGUGGAGCAACCAAUUCCCUUUGGUUUAAUAAACGUGAAGCCAGUAUCCAAGCUCCUGAAGACAGAUUUCUAGACCAAGACCAAGACCGCCUAGCAAAAGUGGCAUGAUAUACAUACAUCUUACAAUAUCUGUCACAGCACCAUCAACAACAUACAUAUUGUCUUCUUCAUCUUCGCCAUCGUUGUCGUGACUUGGCCGCUGUUGUUGGUGCGCUGCUACUGAAGUUCAGCUUGAGUGUGAGAGGAAAAAGAUUUCUGAGACAGAUUAGCUGCUGCUGUUGUCCUAGGUUUUUUUGGUCUUAAAUUAUUUCCGUUUCUAGGAAGUGUAUGUGUUGGUUGUGCAUGAAGCACGUGCAGUGUAUGUGUUUUGUUGUGCAUAAUUUUCUUGAUUUUCAAUAGCAUGUUAAGUUAAUGUUUCGGAAAUUCCGAAGUUCACGUGUACUACAUACAGAAGAAAUUCAUCGAAUGUGAAAAAGGGACCGCCUAGGCCAUUUCAC
rnacentral:lncRNA from 1 species